CAUAGGUUAAUGAGGCGAACCGGGGGAACUGAAACAUCUAAGUACCCCGAGGAAAAGAAAUCAACCGAGAUUCCCCCAGUAGCGGCGAGCGAACGGGGAGCAGCCCAGAGCCUGAAUCAGUAUGUGUGUUAGUGGAAGCGUCUGGAAAGGCGCGCGAUACAGGGUGACAGCCCCGUACACAAAAAUGCACAUGCUGUGAGCUCGAUGAGUAGGGCGGGACACGUGGUAUCCUGUCUGAAUAUGGGGGGACCAUCCUCCAAGGCUAAAUACUCCUGACUGACCGAUAGUGAACCAGUACCGUGAGGGAAAGGCGAAAAGAACCCCGGCGAGGGGAGUGAAAAAGAACCUGAAACCGUGUACGUACAAGCAGUGGGAGCACGCUUAGGCGUGUGACUGCGUACCUUUUGUAUAAUGGGUCAGCGACUUAUAUUCUGUAGCAAGGUUAACCGAAUAGGGGAGCCGAAGGGAAACCGAGUCUUAACUGGGCGUUAAGUUGCAGGGUAUAGACCCGAAACCCGGUGAUCUAGCCAUGGGCAGGUUGAAGGUUGGGUAACACUAACUGGAGGACCGAACCGACUAAUGUUGAAAAAUUAGCGGAUGACUUGUGGCUGGGGGUGAAAGGCCAAUCAAACCGGGAGAUAGCUGGUUCUCCCCGAAAGCUAUUUAGGUAGCGCCUCGUGAAUUCAUCUCCGGGGGUAGAGCACUGUUUCGGCAAGGGGGUCAUCCCGACUUACCAACCCGAUGCAAACUGCGAAUACCGGAGAAUGUUAUCACGGGAGACACACGGCGGGUGCUAACGUCCGUCGUGAAGAGGGAAACAACCCAGACCGCCAGCUAAGGUCCCAAAGUCAUGGUUAAGUGGGAAACGAUGUGGGAAGGCCCAGACAGCCAGGAUGUUGGCUUAGAAGCAGCCAUCAUUUAAAGAAAGCGUAAUAGCUCACUGGUCGAGUCGGCCUGCGCGGAAGAUGUAACGGGGCUAAACCAUGCACCGAAGCUGCGGCAGCGACGCUGAUGCGUUGUUGGGUAGGGGAGCGUUCUGUAAGCCUGCGAAGGU
rnacentral:rRNA from 1 species